rnacentral:rRNA from 1 species
GAGUUUGAUUCUGGCUUCAGAACGAACGCUUGGCGGCGUGCCUAACACAUGCAAGUCGAGCGAGAAAGCGCCUUCGGGCGUUAGUAAAGCGGCGGACGGGUGAGUAACACUUAGGUAAUCUACCUUUUAGUUGGGAAUAACCACGGGAAACUGUGGCUAAUACCGAAUGUGGAUCCAUCAUUGAUUGAUGUAUCUAAAGGGGGCUCUCGCAAGAGGCUCUCGCUAGAAGAUGAGCCUAAGUCCCAUUAGGUAGUUGGUGAGGUAAUGGCUCACCAAGCCGACGAUGGGUAGCUGGUCUGAGAGGAUGAUCAGCCACACUGGAACUGACACACGGUCCAGACUCCUACGGGAGGCAGCAGUGGGGAAUAUUGCGCAAUGGAGGAAACUCUGACGCAGCGACGCCGCGUGGGUGAUGAAGGCCCUUCGGGUUGUAAAGCUCUGUCGGCUGGGAAAAAGGGUUUCGUGCUAAUACCACGAAGCUUUUGAUGGUACCAGCAAAGGAAGCACCGGCUAACUCUGUGCCAGCAGCCGCGGUUAAUACAGAGGGUGCAAGCGUUGUUCGGAAUUUACUGGGCGUAAAGGUGCGCGUAGGCGGGUUUAGUAAGUCAGAUGUGAAAG